rnacentral:rRNA from 1 species
CCUACGGGAGGCAGCAGUGGGGAAUAUUGCGCAAUGGGCGAAAGCCUGACGCAGCGACGCCGCGUGAGGGAUGAAGGUCUUCGGAUCGUAAACCUCUGUCAGCAGGGACGAAUGGUCACUGUGUUAAUCAGCAGUGAAUUGACGGUACCUGCAAAGGAAGCACCGGCUAACUCCGUGCCAGCAGCCGCGGUAAUACGGAGGGUGCGAGCGUUAAUCGGAAUUACUGGGCGUAAAGCGCUCGUAGGCGGUAUGUCAAGUCAAGGGUGAAAUCCCCGCGCUCAACGUGGGAAUUGCCUUUGAAACUGGCAAACUAGAGUGUGUGAGAGGAUAGUGGAAUUCCAGGUGUAGGAGUGAAAUGCGUAGAUAUCUGGAGGAACAUCAGUGGCGAAGGCGACUAUCUGGAACAAAACUGACGCUGAGGAGCGAAAGCGUGGGUAGCAAACAGGAUUAGAUACCCUUGUAGUC